rnacentral:rRNA from 1 species
GAUGAACGCUGGCGGCGUGCCUAAUACAUGCAAGUCGAGCGAACAGACGAGGAGCUUGCUCCUCUGACGUUAGCGGCGGACGGGUGAGUAACACGUGGAUAACCUACCUAUAAGACUGGGAUAACUUCGGGAAACCGGAGCUAAUACCGGAUAAUAUAUUGAACCGCAUGGUUCAAUAGUGAAAGACGGUUUUGCUGUCACUUAUAGAUGGAUCCGCGCCGCAUUAGCUAGUUGGUAAGGUAACGGCUUACCAAGGCAACGAUGCGUAGCCGACCUGAGAGGGUGAUCGGCAACACUGGAACUGAGACACGGUCCAGACUCCUACGGGAGGCAGAAGUAGGGAAUCUUCCGCAAGGGGCGAAAGCCUGACGGGGCAACGCCGCGUGAGUGAUGAAGGUCUUCGGAUCGUAAAACUCUGUUAUUAGGGAAGAACAAAUGUGUAAGUAACUAUGCACGUCUUGACGGAACCUAAUCAGAAAGCCACGGCUAACUACGU